rnacentral:lncRNA from 1 species
AGAUUGUAAUUUAUCAAUUAAUUAAUUUAACAAGCGUUGGAUAAAUUAAUUAAUUGGCUUGCAUAUUUAUAGGCCCAAAUUAAUUAAUUGGAUUAAUUAGUUCACGGAUCGGAUUUAAUUAAAUGAGUUAAUUAAAUGUUGAACCGGGUCAGACCAAGCCCGUUUGGGCUUAUAUAAAUAUGAUUAGGAUUUUCAAAAUUGUGGUGAUUUUCAUAAUUCUUGCUAGCACAAAAAAAACCCUAAUGCUGCAAUCUUGUUCUCUAUGUGGAUUAUCGUUGGAGAUUGGACAAUUGGACAGCUGUGAGAGACAGAUCCAAGUUGCUAGAACAAAGAUAUGGCAAAGAAGUUUGCAGAUCCUGUAAAGGUACAUCUUUAUCAUAAUUUCUAUCUAAAUACAAAGGUGAUUCUUGGUAGGAAUCGAAAUCUAUUUUAAUUUUUCGUUGCGCAUGUUAAGUACAUUCCCAACAAGGAGCAUGUCGAAGAAGGUGAUGAAGAAGAUUCAUCUCAAGGUGAAGAUGGGACAAUUUUUGACAUCUCAAAUGAGCCUUAAGGAAUCCUAUCUGGUGUUCUUGAAAGGAAUAGCAUCCAAAAGUGGGUUGAAUGGGCUUCCUCGAUACUAAUAUCAAGUAACCUCUAAUAUCAUUCGAGUGGAUUACUAGAUCCUAUUACGAAUUGUGUGCAGGCAAAUGUGUUUGGUAGUUUCUAAAACUUGACGUUUUGUCGACGCUGAUCGGGUAAAGUUUUUACUUGCCAUUAACAUACUUGCAGUUUGCGAUUCUAUUGGCUUCUCUUUGGCUCUCCCCAAAUUCUAUCAAGGCCUUUUGGUUUAAAAAUUAACUUUUUGGCAUAAGAAUCGAAGUUUUAUUUAUGAAUUGUGGUUGGUGGAUGGUUUAGCUAACAAUUAGUAAGGUUGUUGUUGUUGUUGUUGUUGUUAUUAUUAUUAUCAAUACAAUAUUUCAUACAAUGAUGGCACGGUUAGGAUCCCAAGCAAUGCAAACAUUUCGUGUCCUCAUGAUUUGUUCACGAUUUCUCUUGCAAGUGUGCAUCAACUUGAACGUUGAAGAUAACUGGAGAAGAUUAGAUAUGUUCAUGAAUCAUACAGGAGAUGGAAGUCUACCUUCUAAAUGUAAAACGGUAA